CCUACGGGCGGCAGCAGUGGGGGAUAUUGCACAAUGGGGGAAACCCUGAUGCAGCGACGCCGCGUGGAGGAAGAAGCACCUCGGCGUGUAAAGCUCUAUCAGCAGGGAAGAAAAUGACGGUACCUGACGAAGAAGCCCCGGCUAACUACGUGCCAGCAGCCGCGGUAAUACGUAGGGGGCAAGCGUUAUCCGGAUUUACUGGGUGUAAAGGGAGCGUAGGCGGGUUAGCAAGCCAGAAGUGAAAGCCCGGGGCUCAACUCCGGGACUGCUUUUGGAACUGCGGGGCUAGAGUGCAGGAGGGGCAGGUGGAAUUCCUGGUGUAGCGGUGAAAUGCGUAGAUAUUAGGAGGAACACCGGUGGCGAAGGCGGCUUGCUGGACUGUAAAUGACGCUGAGGCUCGAAAGCGUGGGGAGCAAACAGGAUUAGAUACCCCAGUAGUC
rnacentral:rRNA from 1 species